CCUCUUAUGUGCUGCCUAGUGCCGUGCUCGUCUCUGUCAGCACGUUGGGAGCACAUCCCUCCGGCUCCAGGAUGCUGCCGGGCACGGCGACAGGCGUGGGAACAACUAAGGAGUGGGAGAUGACUGCAUGGUCUGUACAGCUGCACCCACUUGCUCCCUAGGAAAGAGGCAAUCCAUCAGAAAAGCAUUCACACAGACCCUCGCUGUCAGCUGAGGCCCGAGUCUUCAUAAAAGCGUCUAUAUUUAUCAUCGCUUUUGUAAUUCAGGAACUAUUCCAUCAAGAAAUAUUCCUUCUUGGUCUGUCUGCUUUUUUUUUUUCCUUCUCUUUUUCUUCCCUUCCCUCCUCUGUUCUUCAUGGAUACCCGUUAUAUCUCUUUCCUCCUGUGUUCUUCAUGGGUAAUCCUGUAUAUAAAUAUCUGACUAUAAAUCCCUUCUAUAACUCAGCAGAGUUCCCACUGAGGUCGGUGCAUUUACUCCCUGGGUGAAUGCCUCCUGUCCUGCUCCUGCCCUGUGCCCAGGGCUGCAGCAGCUAUUCCCAUCAGCUGGUGUCAGGCACCACCUGGCAGCGUGGCUUCAUUUGCUCUGAGGAGGGGACUCUCUCUUCUGGCUGCUGCUGCUGGCCCCCUGCGUGUGUUCUGGGGCCAUCUGGGGCUGCUCCGACUGCUCCAUCCUUCAAGUGCACAACAGAAGAAGGAGAGGGGACUGAGAGACACAUCCUACACAUGCAUCACAGUCUUUCAUUUCGUCUGAUGUAUCUUCUCACAUCUCCUGAACAGGACCUCUGAUGCUGAAAGGGUAAGAUAACCCUCGCUGAGCCUCCUCAACCCUCUGCUGAAGCCACUUACAUCUGCUGGCUCCUACAACCCAACAAAGACAUUGUCUAGCUUUGACAAAGAAAGCUUUUCUCUGAA